rnacentral:lncRNA from 1 species
GGCGGAGGCCCUCCCGGUAGCGUGCCCAGACCCGCCAUAUGUCUACACAUAUAAGGCGUCUACAAGAAAAGCGGAAGUAAAAGUAAGAGAUGGAACAAAUAAAAGAAGUGAAAUAACAAGCAACUAAUGAUAUCAGAGCGAGUAAAGUUCUAACAUCUAUACUAAUAGUAAUAGAACAUAACUAAUACAUAAAAGUAAACAUAAGUUAUACAGUAUCAGCCUCUAAUACAAAAA